rnacentral:tRNA from 1 species
UCCCCGGUAGCUCAGUUGGUAGAGCGCCUGACUGUUAAUCAGGUGGCCGCAGGUUCGAGUCCUGCCCGGGGAGCCA